UACAGGGGGUGCAAACGUUGCUCGGAAUUAUUGGGCGUAAAGCGCGCGUAGGCGGCUACUUAUGUCGGAUGUGAAAGCCCUUGGCUCAACUGAGGAAGUGCACCCGAAACUGAGUAGCUGGAGUACGAAAGAGGGUCGCGGAAUUCCCGGUGUAGAGGUGAAAUUCGUAGAUAUCGGGAGGAACACCGGUGGCGAAGGCGGCGACCUGGGUCGAUACUGACGCUGAGGCGCGAAAGCCAGGGGAGCAAACGGG
rnacentral:rRNA from 1 species